UACGUAGGGUGCGAGCGUUUGUCCGGAAUUAUUGGGCGUAAAGAGCUCGUAGGCGGUGUGUCACGUCGGCCGUGAAAACCUGGGGCUUAACUCUGGGCGUGCGGUCGAUACGGGCAUCACUAGAGUUCGGCAGGGGAGACUGGAAUCCUGGUGUAGCGGUGAAAUGCGCAGAUAUCAGGAGGAACACCGGUGGCGAAGGCGGCUCUCUGGACCGUAACUGACGCUGAGGCGCGAAAAGCGUGGGGAGCGAACAGG
rnacentral:rRNA from 1 species